rnacentral:snRNA from 1 species
AGCUUUGCGCAGUGGCAGUAUCGUAGCCAAUGAGGUUUAUCCGAGGCACGAUUAUUGCUAAUUGAAAAGGGAACAAAUCACUGAUACAUGCGGCAACAUGGAGGCAUCAUAAAAAUGUUAUGCUAAGUGAAGGAAGUUAAAAGCAGAAGACUAUGUAAUGCACGAUUUCUUCUCUCUGAAGUUCUAGAAAAGGCAAAUGUUA